rnacentral:rRNA from 1 species
GAUGAACGCUGGCGGCGUGCCUAAUACAUGCAAGUCGAGCGAACGGACGAGAAGCUUGCUUCUCUGAUGUUAGCGGCGGACGGGUGAGUAACACGUGGAUAACCUACCUAUAAGACUGGGAUAACUUCGGGAAACCGGAGCUAAUACCGGAUAAUAUUUUGAACCGCAUGGUUCAAAAGUGAAAGACGGUCUUGCUGUCACUUAUAGAUGGAUCCGCGCUGCAUUAGCUAGUUGGUAAGGUAACGGCUUACCAAGGCAACGAUGCAUAGCCGACCUGAGAGGGUGAUCGGCCACACUGGAACUGAGACACGGUCCAGACUCCUACGGGAGGCAGCAGUAGGGAAUCUUCCGCAAUGGGCGAAAGCCUGACGGAGCAACGCCGCGUGAGUGAUGAAGGUCUUCGGAUCGUAAAACUCUGUUAUUAGGGAAGAACAUAUGUGUAAGUAACUGUGCACAUCUUGACGGUACCUAAUCAGAAAGCCACGGCUAACUACGUGCCAGCAGCCGCGGUAAUACGUAGGUGGCAAGCGUUAUCCGGAAUUAUUGGGCGUAAAGCGCGCGUAGGCGGUUUUUUAAGUCUGAUGUGAAAGCCCACGGCUCAACCGUGGAGGGUCAUUGGAAACUGGAAAACUUGAGUGCAGAAGAGGAAAGUGGAAUUCCAUGUGUAGCGGUGAAAUGCGCAGAGAUAUGGAGGAACACCAGUGGCGAAGGCGACUUUCUGGUCUGUAACUGACGCUGAUGUGCGAAAGCGUGGGGAUCAAACAGGAUUAGAUACCCUGGUAGUCCACGCCGUAAACGAUGAGUGCUAAGUGUUAGGGGGUUUCCGCCCCUUAGUGCUGCAGCUAACGCAUUAAGCACUCCGCCUGGGGAGUACGACCGCAAGGUUGAAACUCAAAGGAAUUGACGGGGACCCGCACAAGCGGUGGAGCAUGUGGUUUAAUUCGAAGCAACGCGAAGAACCUUACCAAAUCUUGACAUCCUUUGACAACUCUAGAGAUAGAGCUUUCCCCUUCGGGGGACAAAGUGACAGGUGGUGCAUGGUUGUCGUCAGCUCGUGUCGUGAGAUGUUGGGUUAAGUCCCGCAACGAGCGCAACCCUUAAGCUUAGUUGCCAUCAUUAAGUUGGGCACUCUAAGUUGACUGCCGGUGACAAACCGGAGGAAGGUGGGGAUGACGUCAAAUCAUCAUGCCCCUUAUGAUUUGGGCUACACACGUGCUACAAUGGACAAUACAAAGGGCAGCGAAACCGCGAGGUCAAGCAAAUCCCAUAAAGUUGUUCUCAGUUCGGAUUGUAGUCUGCAACUCGACUACAUGAAGCUGGAAUCGCUAGUAAUCGUAGAUCAGCAUGCUACGGUGAAUACGUUCCCGGGUCUUGUACACACCGCCCGUCACACCACGAGAGUUUGUAACACCCGAAGCCGGUGGAGUAACCUUUUAGGAGCUAGCCGUCGAAGGUGGG